GGGGAUUUAGCUUAGUGGUAGAGCGCUUGCCUGGCAAGCGCAAGAUCCUGGAUUCAGUCCUCA
rnacentral:tRNA from 1 species